rnacentral:rRNA from 1 species
AUGGCCGCCUGCAACCGCAAGCGACCUGCUGCCGUCCUCGACGCCGUCCACGCCACGACGGCUCAACAUCAACAAUCGCCGACGCGCUGCAAGAGGAGCCGCGCCUUCAUCGGGAGCACCGACGACUACGUGCAGGUGAACAGCCUAGGCCAAGGCGGCUUCGGCGUCGUCCUCAGGGUGCGCCACAAAGUCACCAAGAAGGACUUGGCCGUCAAGUUCCUCUCCUCGCCGGACGACACCGAGGAGGGCCCCGACGUCGAAGAUCUUUAUCGGGAGGCACGGUUCCUCGAGGCCUGCGAAGGAAAUCCUUACGUCGUCGGCUUCGAGGGCCUGCUGCACAGCCCGGACACAGGCGACGUCGGCCUCGCCAUGGAGUACGUCGAGGCCUCGAGCCUCGAGGACAGGCGCGCCGGCCAGCCGCUCCCGGAAUCCAUGGCGCGCGACUUCAUGUGGAAGCUUCUGACCGGAGCAGAAAUGAUGCACGACCGCCAUGUCGUCCACCGCGACAUCAAGCCCGGCAACAUCCUCGUCGGGGAAACCAGGGAGCUAGUUAAGAUCUGCGACCUCGGGCUGGCCAUCUCCUUGUCCGACAAGCCACCGUACAGCCAGGCCGGCACGGCGUCGUACAUGGCGCCCGAGAUGAUCCUGGGCAAGCGGGACUACGACGCGCUCGUGGACACGUGGUCCAUCGGCUGCGUCUUUGCCGAACUGCUCACCGGGAAGACCUUGUUCGCGUGCGACGGCGAAGAUGACGACGACGACGACGACAACAAGAUAAAGGUUGACAUAUACCAGCUGUGGAGCAUCUUCCGAGUGCUCGGGGUGCCGGACGAGAGGACGUGGCCAGGGUUCACGUCGCUGCCGCACACCACCGAGGCGCUGCGACUGCUACCGGCGGGGCACAACCACAGCCGGCUGCGGGAUUUGUUCCCUGAAGAGAAGCUGUCCGAGGAAGGAUUCCGGUUGUUGCAAGGGCUCCUCACGUGCAACCCAGACAAGCGAUUGACGGCAGCCGCCGCGCUCAAGCAGCCAUGGUUCGCUGCUCCUCGUUCCGCCGCCGCCGCUGCGAAUGUCGACGCUCUGUCGGAAAAGAAGGCACCAAGGAUCAAGUUCAUUCCGCCGGCAAUGCCAGAGAAGAAUCUACUCAAAAUUCCAGCGGCUGCGUGGAACGCAGCGCAACGAGUGUAA